AUAACAGGUCUGUGAUGCCC
rnacentral:ncRNA from 3 species